rnacentral:ncRNA from 1 species
ACAGUACAAACUGAGCAGGCGAUGCCUUUCGGAAUCAAAGAUACUUAUCCGAAGGCAUGGGGCCGGGCCGCAGGAAGCGGCAGCGGAUAUGGAAUGUGACUUUACUUUCAGACAUAUCUGCGGGACAGU